AAAGAAUUAAUUUAUUAAAUAAAAUAAUAGUUUGUCAAACUAUCAAUAUUAGUUAUCUAAUAUUCUUUU
rnacentral:tRNA from 1 species